rnacentral:rRNA from 1 species
GACGAACGCUGGCGGCGUGCUUAACACAUGCAAGUCGAACGGAAAGGCCCUGCUUUUGUGGGGUGCUCGAGUGGCGAACGGGUGAGUAACACGUGAGUAACCUGCCCUUGACUUUGGGAUAACUUCAGGAAACUGGGGCUAAUACCGGAUAGGAGCUCCUGCUGCAUGGUGGGGGUUGGAAAGUUUCGGCGGUUUGGGAUGGACUCGCGGCUUAUCAGCUUGUUGGUGGGGUAGUGGCUUACCAAGGCUUUGACGGGUAGCCGGCCUGAGAGGGUGACCGGCCACGUUGGGACUGGGAUACGGCCCAGACUCCUACGGGAGGCAGCGGUGGGGAAUAUUGCACAAUGGGCGGAAGCCUGAUGCAGCAACGCCGCGUGCGGGAUGACGGCCUUCGGGUUGUAAACCGCUUUCGCCUGUGACGAAGCGUGAGUGACGGUAAUGGGUAAAGAAGCACCGGCUAACUACGUG